rnacentral:rRNA from 1 species
CCCUUAGACGUUCUGGGCCGCACGCGCGCUACACUGACGAAGGCAACGAGCUUUCCUUUACCGAAAGGUACGGGUAAUCUUUUGAAACUUCGUCGUGCUGGGGAUAGAUCCUUGCAAUUUCUGAUCUUAAACGAGGAAUGCCUAGUAAGCGCAAGUCAUCAACUUGCGUUGAUUACGUCCCUGCCCUUUGUACACACCGCCCGUCGCUACUACCGAUUGAAUGGUUUAGUGAGGCCUUCGGAUCCGCGACUCGUUUGUGGAGAAGUUGGACAAACUCAGUCAUUUAGAGGAAGUAAAAGUCGUAACA